ACACGUACCAAAACAAACACAUCAUCUCCAUCUUUUUCCCCAAACCUGAAGGUUUGCAAAAUAAUAAUUCAAAAGGUCAAACAAACUCAAUGUUAAAUUAGCUAUCAACAUCACUAACAAGAAAAUACUACCAGAUUAACAGUUUUGACCUAAAUCAGACUAGCUGAUUCCAAAACAUAAAACAGAAUUACUGUCACACAGUACAAUCUACCCUUACCCUUAUUUGCGUACACCAUUUACUGCUCCCACAGGAGGCCACGUCGCCAGCUAUUUGUUACCGUUCGAUUGCCCAUCUAUGGCUGCCUUGAAUGCACUUCACGUUGCCUACAGAUCCUUCCAGGCUCCUCCAAAGGAAGGCCGAUGCAAUAUAGAUGAAAAAAAAAACUCUGCUCUCUGCUGCUUCAACACGCACCAGCGCUGUUGUGCGCCUCCUCCUCACGUGUCUUUGGCUGCCUUGCCGCCACACCAUCAUCUGCCUGGAACGGUGUGCCUCUGAUGCUGUGCCAGCUGUGUUAGCGCAUCAUCUGCUUCGUGCGAUGGGCACGCCGCCACUACCGUGGGAGCCGCUUUGACCGGUUGCUCAUCCUCGCCUCUAGAGGCCCUGUGCUCAAGUCUUCCUCAGUUCUACUUCCUCUGUAAGCACAGUGAAGUACCUAGCUGUUGUUUCUAUUGCACUUACCUGCACUUACCUUCAAUUGUUUGACGAAAUGCUCAAAGGAUUUUUUGUUGCAAAUUUUGCAUUCCUAUGUGUUAUUUAUGCAUAUUUUAACAAGUUUUACCUUCCCAGCUUGAAUCAUUAUAGACCUAUAUAUUUUAUGAAAGUGACGGUUAAUGCUUUUGGCGGCAACAAUUGUUUCUACAGUUUGCUCUUCUAAUUCAUCCUUAGAUUUCAUAAGCAAUGGUUCUUGAGCCGCAUGCCAUCUCCACAUUGGCCUUACAAGUGCCAUCCUUCAGCAACAAACAGAAUCACUGUGAUUUCUGGUUUGAUAGCCACUAUUCUUUUAAUCUCUAGCAAACACCUUCUCCAACCAUUGUCAUUGAGUCACAUAGAUCAGGAACUUGAUAAUUAAUUAUCUGAUGGAGGUCCAACAACUAAUGUCUGUUACAAACUAAGUUCCAACAUUUGUUCUUACAAUAGUGAGCUAUAUUAAGUUCUCAUAAUUAUUCUUUUGGAUGUUGUAUGGAUGAAUAUAUUCUUCGUACCAAUUGCUGGCUUCUUCUGAUUUACCGUGGCAACGCACGGUGUCCUGGCUAGUUGUAUUAAUAAUCAGUUCGUUUAAAUUUUAUGUGCACAAUAAGGGAAAAUGAAAUUCUUAGCUGUUCCAUUUUGCAGCAUGUUGCAGAUUGACUCUGUGUGAGACUCAACACCAGUCAGGAAGUCACAACAAUUCAAUUGUGGCAACUGCAAAUUCAUUCAGAGACAAUGGCAACUGGAAAUUCAUUUAGAGACAUAAAAACCAUAUCUUAUUCAAUCUUUCCUAAAGGUACUGAACAAACUAUGAAAUGAAAAGUAGCUAUUGCAAAUGAGAAACUUCAAACUGCACAAAAGUAAUAACUAUUGCAGUUAAAAACUUAAAAAUUGGGUCUUCUCCCACUUGGUUUGCAGUAUCUCCAGCUGUUGUUCUAUCUGGAUUUAGUGUGCUGGCAUCUUUGUUAUCAUGGCACUCAAUAGGUUGCUCUUUUCCUCCACUUUUCCAUGAUGGUCAUGUUCAGCUCCAGCCGUCGAGUGAUGUGCUUUCACUAAUGUUUGCCACCAUCUAUCUAUGCUUCGACUGGUGCGGCAAGAGAAAGCAAAACCUUUUUAGCACGCUGGUGCUUCCCAUUGAUCCUUCAUCAUAAAGCCUGUUUAUCACAAAUGAAACGAACAGAAAAUGCAGAAAGAAACAAGGAAAAAACUACUAGGACAGAAAAUAAUAAAUUCCCAUCCACUUAAAUGCUCCCACCAUGCAACUACUGAAGUAUGAAGAUUCAUUGCUUUAUAAAAGAUAGAUUGAGCAUAGACUUGAAAAGCAUACCAAUUAACCUGAAGCACCUGAAGCAUCGUGAUGCCUAAACAAAUUGAAAACAGGUUGUCUAGCACAAGCAAAGAAAUCUGCACCAAAUCAUAUUGGCCACAGACAACUAUACUAUGUAUGGAACCUAAAAUCCAGAUAAUUUCUGUUCCAAAACUUAAUAUUUCAGAUUUCAGAUACGUAGCUGCAAAAUUAAGCAAUACGACAUUAAAAGUGCUGAAUCAAAGAUAGGGCCAGGAAGGGGAGGGCAUGUACCUUGAGCAAGGAGAGCCUGUAACUGUAAGCAGCGAGUACACAGAGACUUGAAGAACGGGUUAGAAAACGCACCUGGCGCCAGCAAUCAAACGCACCUAUCAAACCUAGCAGUCUAGCACAUGUCCAUCUCCGGAGGUGGAGGCGCGAGCUGCACUGCUGCCACUGCCGGCUGCUGCUGUGGCGGAUCCAACUUCACGGCGUACACCCCAUACACGUAGUUACCGAUGUCCACGCACGCCAUGAGCACGAUGGCGGCCAAGCCGAGGUACAGCCAGAAGCGGAAGAUGGUUACCCAGACGCGGGCCACCUCUGGGUCUGUGGUAAAAGAGACGACCCUGCCGACACAGAUGCAAAACUGGAGCCCGACGAGAGCCAUGACCCAGGUGCGGCCGAACACGCAGUUCACGGCGUACGGAAAUAGCCGCUUCAUCUUCAACGGCAGUGACAGUGAGGGACGCUUCUCAUCCGCCGCCGGCGUGGGUGGGGCCGGAGGUGGGCUCGGCAUCGCAACAGGUGCCGAAGGGGCGACGACUCGAGAGGAGAGGGGAUCCAGCGAGGAGGGAGGAGCACCUGCGGACAUCGGGCGAGGGGGGAGGAGCACCUGCGGCCUCGCCGGAAUCGAUCGAGGGAGCCGCCGGGUCGAGAUCGCGGAGCGCGCGCGGGGAGAUGUGGUCGGGAGAUCGGGAUCGGGAUGCGGGAAUCGAAUUGCUCUAGGAGGCAGGAGGCGGCGGCGCCGACACGCUAGGGUUUUAUUGCCCGGGGAUGAGUCGCAGAGUCGGUUUCGCGGAAUUCUGGUGGGAAUUGCGUAUCCCUCACGCGCGGCGCCAACCUGGAGGAAGAAGAGGAGUCGGAACCGACUGCUCUUUUUUUCGUUAUACCGACUUUAUCCUUGAGCUCUUUUUUAACAAUAAAUAAAUAAAUAAGUAGGAUUUUUUUAUUAUUAGGGUCUUUACCGCUUGAGCCUUCACGACAAAAAUAAAAUAAAAUAAAUAGGCGCAUCGGUGUAAAAAAAACUUGACACAAAGGAGGCGCACCCCUGUUUUUAAUUAAUAACUAAUAGUUAAUAAUUAAUAAAUAGUUAAUAAUUAAAGAUUAAUUAAUAUUUAAUAAUUAAGAAGGCUCGGUUCUCUAGGCUGAGAGCAAGCUCCGGUAACGAGUCGUCUACGAAAGCACCUACGGUGCAUUGGUGUAUGCUUCACACAAAAAAAAAACUGUGUAUGGUUUGAAAUCCAUAAAUAAAUCUCCGUUUGAAAUAGAUCAGGCAAAUUGAAAUAGAGGAAUUUGGCAUGCUUAGUCAACAAAAAAAGAUCACAUACAUAUCCAUACACAGAAAAUCAUUGAUGAAAUCGACGAAACAGAUCAGGCACAUAUUCAUACACAAAAAAAAAGAGGAACAAACUCUUUUCGUGAGAAAUUAAAUCAAUCUCCUAAAAAAUAAAAAAAAUCUAAUAAGAUAUAAGAAGUUUAUCGGUAAUGAUAUCUGUAAGACGUCCGUCAGUCCGGACGUUGUUGUCCACUCAUUUUGUUGCUCCCCCACGCCUUCUCAUCCACUCAUUUUUUUCAUCUCCACUCUUCUCUCACAUCUCGCUGCCACUUCCACCGCUCGCACCAUGCGCCGACACUUUCUGCCAUGCGCGAGCCCCUCCUCCCUCCUUUUCUCCCUCCCUCCCCGCCGCUGCGACCCACACGCCCUCCAUGGCGCCGGAGUAGAGCACGACGGUGGCAGCUUUCAGUGAGCAGCGCAACUCCCUUCCUCCCUGCUCUUUCUCCCUUGCUCUCGUGACCUCUAUGCAUCUGGAGAUGGAGACAACGACGCGGCUCCAACGAGGUAGGUGGAGAGGGAUUUGGAUCCGAAGCCUUUCUCUCCCUUUUCCCUCUCUCCUUCCUUUUGUGGAUCUGGAUCUGAGCCCUCCUUUGCUCCUCCUCCACCUCUUGCUUAUCCUCCUGUUCCUCUGGAUCUAGAUCUACGGGAUAUUGUGUUGGCCAAGGUUUCGGCGAGCUCUUGGGAUUCAGUGCUCGUACGUGUUGUAAUGGUGUUCUCUGGUUUUUCACAGUAUGUUUUUCAGGUGCUGUUGCAGUAGGAUAGGGUUUCGGCGAGCUCUCGGGUUCAGAUCUCGUCAUUGUUGCAAUAGUUCUAUCUAGACAUUGCAGUAGGUUUUAGUCGUUGUUGCAGUUUUGUGUUCUGAGAUGUUGUUUCAGUUGCUUCAGUCUGCAUGUUGUAGUAGUUUGUUUUAUGUUGUUACAACAUUUGUUCGGUGUUGUUGUAGUACUAUGUCCAUGGUGUUUUAGUCGCUCCAUCCAAUGCUUUAAUCUGCACUGUUGUAUUAGUUAUUGCAUGUUGUUGCAACAGUUGGUCGAUGUUGCUGUAAUACUAUGCCUAUGGUGUUUCGGUUGCUCCAUCUAAUGCUUCAACAUAUGCUGUCGUAUUAGUUGUUACAUGUUGUUGCAACAACCGUUCUUUGUUGUUGUAAUACUAUAUUUAUGGUGUUUCAGCUGUUCUAUCCAAUACUUCAAUCUGUAUGUUGUAGCAGUUGUUGCAUGCUGUUGUAGCAAUUAUUCUUGUUUGUUGUAAUACGAUGUUUAUGAUGUUUCAACUACUUCAACUUGUUUGUUGUAGCAGUAUGUCAGCUGUUGUUGCACUAUUAUAUAUAUUGUGUUGCAGCGUCAAGUAUGAGGAUAGGUUGUAGGGACAAGUUAGCGGCAGGCAGAUCUGCUAGGGGCCAACAAAGCGAGAGGCAGCGGCGAUCCCAUGCUCGUGGGGGCGGAGGAUGGGCUCAUUGCGCGAGGAACGGACGAAGUGCGGUCCUUUGUGUGGGGCGAGCGGGGCAGGGGUAAGUUGGUUGGGACGGAGCGGAUAAGAAACAAUCUUCUGUGCAGGAUGAGUGGGGCAGAGGUGGGUUGGUUAGAGGCGGAUGGGAUUUUCUUUUUUUUUCUUUUCUAUGGCGCGGGUGGGGGGGGCUUGGCGUCCGGACGCGUUGUUGGCGCCGGACGUCCGGGCGCUAGCAGUUCCGGAAGUUUAUCUAAUAUCUAAAGUAGACAUUUGCAAAUAAUAAUUCCCUCAUAUCCACCUUAGAUAGACUUGAUGAAUACCGGUGUUGCAAUAUAUAUAAAAUGGUCAUUUAAUAGAUUUCCAGGGAUAUUAUACACCAUUCAAUCAAUACACAUUCGUGUUUCACCCGGUUCUAAUACAUAGACCAAAUUCAUGUCUCUGCGUUCAAUACAAAGUCAUCAAAAAGCUCACAUGUAGACUAAAUCUAUGUGUUUGUGUCCAAUAUGAAGUCUUCAAAGCUCAGGCAUUUGUGUCCUACACGAUCCAAUAUGAAAACACAAAAUCUACAUGUCAUCAAUAUGUGUCUGCAUCUAAAUCUAGGAGCUUGAGCUGAGUCCUCCACUCACCUGCUUGCCAAAGCUCGCCGCACGCGUACCACAGGCUUCUAGAGAUCGGCCUGAUCGGCAGUUGUUGAGGUCGCACCACAUCCCUCCCUUCACAGAUCAGGGAUGAAACCGGGCCACUACAUCAGAUUCGGAGGCAGAGGAACUCACCUUGCUAGAUUACACGCAUGUGCCGACGCGGAUGUCCAUCAGGUCCAACAACUAAUG
rnacentral:lncRNA from 1 species